GAUAAACGCUGGCGGCGUGCAUGAGACAUGCAAGUCGAACGAAGGAUCGGGCUUGCUCGAUCCUUAGUGGCGGACGGCUGAGUAACGCGUAGGUGACCUACCCCGAAGUGGGGAAUAACUGCCCGAAAGGGUGGCUAAUACCGCAUGUGGUCGCACGUUCAUUCGUGCGAGUAAAGCCGCAAGGCGCUUCGGGAGGGGCCUGCGUCCGAUUAGCUCGUUGGUGGGGUAAUGGCUUACCAAGGCGACGAUCGGUAGGUGGUCUGAGAGGACGAUCACCCAGACUGGGACUGAGACACGGCCCAGACUCCUACGGGAGGCAGCAGUCGGGAAUUUUGCUCAAUGGGGGAAACCCUGAAGCAGCUACGCCGCGUGAGGGAUGAAGGCCUUCGGGUUGUAAACCUCUUUUGUCAGGGACGAUGAUGACGGUACCUGGCGAAUAAGCCACGGCUAACUACGUG
rnacentral:rRNA from 1 species